AGCGAACGCUGGCGGCAGGCUUAACACAUGCAUGUCGAACGGGCACUUCGGUGUCAGUGGCAGACGGGUGAGUAACACGUGGGAACGUACCUUUUGGUUCGGAACAACUGAGGGAAACUUCAGCUAAUACCGGAUAAGCCCUUACGGGGAAAGAUUUAUCGCCGAAAGAUCGGCCCGCGUCUGAUUAGCUAGUUGGUAGGGUAAUGGCCUACCAAGGCGACGAUCAGUAGCUGGUCUGAGAGGAUGAUCAGCCACAUUGGGACUGAGACACGGCCCCAACGCCGACGGGAGGCAGCAGUGGGGAAUAUUGGACAAUGGGGGCAACCCUGAUCCAGCCAUGCCGCGUGAGUGAUGAAGGCCCUAGGGUUGUAAAGCUCUUUUGUGCGGUAAGAUAAUGACGGUACCGCAAGAAUAAGCCCCGGCUAACUUCGUGCCAGCCGCCGCUGUAA
rnacentral:rRNA from 1 species